CCUGCCGUUAAUCAAGGAUCAGCCCCGCAGUCAGCUCCUGGGGCUAACGCUUUAAUGUGAUCCGGCGAAGCAGGGGAGAGGAGCGGUAGCGAGAGAGACGGUUGCCUUGUGAUUAUCUUCAAGUUCACUAAAGGUACCAAUCUGGUGAAAUAUAGAAGGGAAAUGGCAAGACAAACCUGCAUCAGAAUGAAAACAACACUAAAUGAAGGAGUUGGAGCAGAUGUAGGACACAGUAUGCCUUUGGAGGUGAUUCUAUCACACACGAGGCUUUGAAAAGAUCCACCAGCAAGUUAAAAGUAAUUGAAUUUAGAAAAGCAUUUGUACUUACCAAAUAUACUGCAGGGUCUCAAUGCUUUCUAGGUCAAUGCUGUAUCCGACUUAGUUUGCAGUUUUCUCAACACCAAGCAUUCAGAAAUCCUAAAUAUAACGCCAACAUCAUGUUACUUAAAUA